AUUCGCAUAUGUGUGAAUAGCAUCUACCUGUGUGUGAAUGCUAUUCACACACAGGUGAAUGUCAUUCACACAUAUGUGAAU
rnacentral:miRNA from 1 species